rnacentral:sRNA from 1 species
CGUUCACUCAGGGGUGACAUGGGUAAUGGGCAAAUAGCACAACACGGGGGCAAAGCAAAGACUGUCCAUCCACAGAUGCUACCAUGGUUGACGGGAUCUAUAUUACAUGAAGGCGUCAGGUUGCACAUCUUAUGGUGAAAAACCCGUAACAGGCCUCCAGUAUUAGGUUCUGAAACUUAGACGAAUGGGGAGCCUCCCCGUUACUCCCCUAGAUGAAAUUCACUGUUUAAAAACUGGCGUCCUCAGGAACUUGCUUCUCCAUAGAGUUCAGAACUAGCAUGGGUCAAAUGGUGACCUCCUUGAGCCCUGCAGUCUUGGCGGUGACAACCUCUGUGGGGCCUUUAAAACUGGCUCACCGGAAAAACGUGGACGAGUUCAGAGCUGAGGGCUGGAGAAGCCCAGAAAGUCUGUGAUCAGAGUAAUGAGCUAUCGCAGUGAGAGAGCCGAGGACUGGAAUAGCGGCAGACAUGAAGCUGGUGAGCGUCCUCCUUGCUCGUGAAGUUUCAGAAGUCACGCUUGAGGCUAUUCGUGUGAUAUUCUGGCAAAGUAUCCAAUCCAGGACUGACUGUUUGAGUGAACCUUAAUUUAAAGGUCCCUCAGGACUGGGUCCUUGUGUCCCUGAGUCCAUUCAGAGAUUUGCCUGAUCACCAGUCCUGUGACUUCCUGCUGCUUGGUGACAGAUUCCCUGGGCCACCUGCCGCCAGCCUGCCCACCUGCCUGCCUGCAUCUGCACCUAUCGUCUGCUGCCAGACAGCCAUCCUCCCUACGGAGGGUGAUGGCCUUUGGAGCUGCAAAGAUCAAGGCUUCGGAAGCCUUGGUUGGAGUGUAUUUUCUGCUCGUAGAAACAUCCUCCAAGCAAGACUGGAAAUUAAGUGGAUAGAGUAGACCAGCCUUCCUAUGGCAUCUAUAAAAUCUGUCUCAGCUCUAUGUCUGUGUGAUACAAGAUUGAUGAGAUUGCUUCUCUUAGGGCUUUCCCCAGAGAUAGGUCCAGAAGGCGGGGUCCCUGUGUCACCCUCCCUUGCCUACCAGGUUGUUCAUUUCUGCACAUUGAAUGUUUCUUCCUCUGUCUAUUCCUUUUUGUUCUGUACUCAAUAGUUGGCAUUGUAAUGUUGACUGUACUGUGGAGGCAGAAACUUGGUUCUCCAAAAUACCCAACUGAGGAACAUUUUCUACAGAGAUAUUGCCCGUUUGUCAUCCAAUGAUGAGACUUAAGUGCUAGGGAGAAAUGAGUAGAACUAGAGGCGGCAGGCUCGUUACAGAUAACCCAGGCUUAUAGAAAGGAUAAAGGAAUGUGUCAGAGAAACUGGGAGUCACUGAUGUAAAAAGGAAGGACAGUGAGGAAAACAAGCAAGAUAUGAGAGAAGGAGCAUAUGGACAGGAAGUCUAAAGAAUGGGCUUAGUGGCAGAAGAUAUGCCUUCCAUAUUGUCAUAAAACAUUGAUAUGAUUAAUAUACCAAAGUCAAUAAGAAACUCUCAUUACACGGAAUGUAUAAUAUAUAAAGUAGUAUCAAUAACAUUCCAACUUAAUUAAUGUGAAAGUAUUUUCCCCGAGUCUGCCGUUGUAAAACAAGCACCCGUUUCUCAUCUUAAAUAACGUUAAAAUGAUUGAUUAGGAGAACGUUGGGCUGAAGCAGCUUGAAGCCCUGGAUUCCUACAUGAAAGCGAUGGGUUGUACUCCCAUCGGUGUCACAUGACCUCACCGCUGUCUUGAUUCGGAAGAUACAUCAUGGAACUCUCACACGGUGUGCACUGUGCGGCCAUGUCCUUUGUUGGCUGCGGUCUGGAACAGCUCAGAUUUGAAACUGCAGUAUGUGAGAAAACAGUGUCUUUACUACACGUACAAAACUUUCUGCUUUUACAGGUAUAGAAUGGUUUAACUGUAAAACCAAACACUUCUCAUAUUUUCCUAUCUCUCGGAGCUAAGUGUCAAAUUACUACAUUGUGUUAAAAUGCUUGCGUUUUUAAAAUGGAGUUGUUAACUUGAGUCUUAGUUUAAAAAACUCAUUGAAUGAAUUUUGGUUUAAAAUCAGAACAGAAUUUUCAACCAUUUCUGAAAUUACUCUAGACUUACUUCUGUUUUAUACUAUGUAUUUAUGCAAAAUGACAAUCUCAAUGAUGACAUUUUAAAACCAAGUAAACAAGUGUAUCUCUCUUAUGAGCA